GAUCUACUCCCUCUGUUCGGAAUUACUUGUCUCGGAAAUGGAUGUAUCUAGAACUAAAUUACAUCUAGAUACAUCCAUUUUCACGACAAGUAAUUCCGAACGGAGGGAGUAAUUU
rnacentral:pre_miRNA from 1 species